rnacentral:rRNA from 1 species
UAGAGUUUCAUCAUGGCUCAGAUUGAACGCUGGCGGCAGGCCUAACACAUGCAAGUCGAGCGGAAACGACAUUAUUGAUUCUCCGGAUGAUUUAAUGGGCGUCGAGCGGCGGACGGGUGAGUAAUGCCUAGGAAAUUGCCUUGAUGUGGGGGAUAACCAUUGGAAACGGUGGCUAAUACCGCAUAAUGCCUUCGGGCCAAAGAGGGGGACCUUCGGGCCUCUCGCGUCAAGAUAUGCCUAGGUGGGAUUAGCUAGUUGGUGAGGUAAUGGCUCACCAAGGCGACGAUCCCUAGCUGGUCUGAGAGGAUGAUCAGCCACACUGGAACUGAGACACGGUCCAGACUCCUACGGGAGGCAGCAGUGGGGAAUAUUGCACAAUGGGCGCAAGCCUGAUGCAGCCAUGCCGCGUGUAUGAAGAAGGCCUUCGGGUUGUAAAGUACAUUCAGUUGUGAGGAAGGGGGUAACGUUAAUAGCGUUAUCUCUUGACGUUAGCAACAGAAGAAGCACCGGCUAACUCCGUGCCAGCAGCCGCGGUAAUACGGAGGGUGCGAGCGUUAAUCGGAAUUACUGGGCGUAAAGCGCAUGCAGGUGGUUCAUUAAGUCAGAUGUGAAAGCCCGGGGCUCAACCUCGGAACUGCAUUUGAAACUGGUGAACUAGAGUGCUGUAGAGGGGGGUAGAAUUUCA